rnacentral:lncRNA from 1 species
UAGGCCCUCUUUUCUUUUUAACUCUACCCCUAAGUAAGUUUUUCACUUCUAGCUUAUCUAUUGACCAAGGAUUCCUAAACUUUUAUCUUCAAUCCAGACUUCUCCAUACAUCUGAGUAUUUGACUUCCCUAUUUGCUGUCUUAAAUCUAGAUUAUCUGAAACGGAACCAUGAUAUUUCUGAUCAAGCCUGGUCCACUUUCACAGUUCAGUGUCUCAGUGAAUGAUACGACCAUGGACGUUACUCCAUAAUUCCCACAAAUUAGGAUAAACCAUUGUGAUACAUUCUCAUUGUACCCUAUACUUUUGCUUCAUAGUGUUCAUCCUACUUUGUAAUUAUAUAUUUAGUUUUAUAAUUACUUGUGCAAUGUCUCCCUUCCCCCUUUGAUGAUAAACUCUGCAAGAGCAGGGACCAAGUCACCAUUUUAUCUUCAGACCUAGCAAAAUGCUUCACGACUAGUUAAUGUUCAAAUGGCGUAGGUUGAAUAUAUGACUGCAAGAAAGAAAAAUUCGUCCUUGUAACUUUUGUGUUCUUGCCACAGAGUCAUCUAACUGCAUCCCCUUUGGAUUCUCUUACUCUUUAGAAAUUCCAAAGGAUUCCUCCUCUUCGAAUAGCAAAACACCUCCAUUUGUCAUUUUCCAAAUCUGGUCAUUCUCAAAUACAAAGGAAACAAGUGCAUGAAAUGCUAGCUGCUGGGAGAAAUGUGGAACUAUUCCAUACCUAGCUACUAAAGGUAUUCUGAGGGUCUUAAAAGCUCCGGGAUCUGAAGAUAAAGGAAUGAGUAAAUUUGUCUGCAUCCAGCUAUAUCCCCAGAGAGGCAUUCUCCACAGCAACUUGCUUUUCUUAAAUGUAUUCUCCUCCUUCGUGUUGGCGAAAAGAAACUGAGUUUUUGAGAUCACCACUGAGUCACUGGAGCACAUAUUACCUGAAGCCCACUUCAUCUCUUGUCUUUCCAUUUAUAUGAACCAAUAAAUCUCCUUUAGUUUUUUAACUAGUUUGAAUU